CAGUCGCCGCGGUAAUACGUAGGGUGCGAGCGUUAAUCGGAAUUACUGGGCGUAAAGCGUGCGCAGGCGGUUUUGUAAGACAGGCGUGAAAUCCCCGGGCUCAACCUGGGAAUGGCGCUUGUGACUGCAAAGCUAGAGUGCGGCAGAGGGGGAUGGAAUUCCGCGUGUAGCAGUGAAAUGCGUAGAUAUGCGGAGGAACACCGAUGGCGAAGGCAAUCCCCUGGGCCUGCACUGACGCUCAUGCACGAAAGCGUGGGGAGCAAACAGGAUUAGAGACCCGUGUAGUCCCUGUCUCUUAUAU
rnacentral:rRNA from 1 species